rnacentral:rRNA from 1 species
GAUAACGGCGUCCAGCGGCGGACGGGUGAGUAAUGCCUAGGAAAUUUGCCCUGAUGUGGGGGAUAACCAUUGGAAACGAUGGCUAAUACCGCAUGAUGCCUACGGGCCAAAGAGGGGGACCUUCGGGCCUCUCGCGUCAGGAUAUGCCUAGGUGGGAUUAGCUAGUUGGUGAGGUAAGGGCUCACCAAGGCGACGAUCCCUAGCUGGUCUGAGAGGAUGAUCAGCCACACUGGAACUGAGACACGGUCCAGACUCCUACGGGAGGCAGCAGUGGGGAAUAUUGCACAAUGGGCGCAAGCCUGAUGCAGCCAUGCCGCGUGUGUGAAGAAGGCCUUCGGGUUGUAAAGCACUUUCAGUCGUGAGGAAGGUAGUGUAGUUAAUAGCUGCAUUAUUUGACGUUAGCGACAGAAGAAGCACCGGCUAACUCCGUGCCAGCAGCCGCGGUAAUACGGAGGGUGCGAGCGUUAAUCGGAAUUACUGGGCGUAAAGCGCAUGCAGGUGGUUUGUUAAGUCAGAUGUGAAAGCCCGGGGCUCAACCUCGGAAUUGCAUUUGAAACUGGCAGACUAGAGUACUGUAGAGGGGGGUAGAAUUUCAGGUGUAGCGGUGAAAUGCGUAGAGAUCUGAAGGAAUACCGGUGGCGAAGGCGGCCCCCUGGACAGAUACUGACACUCAGAUGCGAAAGCGUGGGGAGCAAACAGGAUUAGAUACCCUGGUAGUCCACGCCGUAAACGAUGUCUACUUGGAGGUUGUGGCCUUGAGCCGUGGCUUUCGGAGCUAACGCGUUAAGUAGACCGCCUGGGGAGUACGGUCGCAAGAUUAAAACUCAAAUGAAUUGACGGGGGCCCGCACAAGCGGUGGAGCAUGUGGUUUAAUUCGAUGCAACGCGAAGAACCUUACCUACUCUUGACAUCCAGAGAACUUUCCAGAGAUGGAUUGGUGCCUUCGGGAACUCUGAGACAGGUGCUGCAUGGCUGUCGUCAGCUCGUGUUGUGAAAUGUUGGGUUAAGUCCCGCAACGAGCGCAACCCUUAUCCUUGUUUGCCAGCGAGUAAUGUCGGGAACUCCAGGGAGACUGCCGGUGAUAAACCGGAGGAAGGUGGGGACGACGUCAAGUCAUCAUGGCCCUUACGAGUAGGGCUACACACGUGCUACAAUGGCGCAUACAGAGGGCAGCCAACUUGCGAAAGUGAGCGAAUCCCAAAAAGUGCGUCGUAGUCCGGAUUGGAGUCUGCAACUCGACUCCAUGAAGUCGGAAUCGCUAGUAAUCGUGGAUCAGAAUGCCACGGUGAAUACGUUUCCCGGGCAUGUAAACAACCCGCCCAC